ensembl:snRNA U4 U4 spliceosomal RNA
AGCUUUGUACAUCGGCAGGAUCACAGCCAAUGAGGCAUGAUUAUUGCUAAUUGAAAACUUUUCCCAAUACCCUGGCAUUGGCAAUUUUUGAGUCUCUAUGGAGA